rnacentral:rRNA from 1 species
GACAGAGGUGCCAAGCGUUAGGCGGAAUCACUGGGCUUAAAGCGUGUGUAGGCGGAAUGGUAAGUACCUUGUGAAAUCCCACAGCUCAACUGUGGAACUGCUCGGUAUACUGCUUUUCUUGAGCCACUUAGGGGCUGUCGGAACAAACGGUGGAGCGGUGAAAUGCGUAGAUAUCGUCUGGAACGCCGAAGGUGAAAACAGCUCGCUGGGGCUGUGCUGGACGCUGAGACACGAAAGCCAGGGGAGCGAACGGGG